rnacentral:rRNA from 1 species
CUUGGUCAUUUAGAGGAAGUAAAAGUCGUAACAAGGUUUCCGUAGGUGAACCUGCGGAAGGAUCAUUAUUGAAUAAACUUGGUGGAUUGUUGCUGGCUCUGCUGAGCAUGUGCACGUCUGUCAUUUUUUAUCUUUCCACUAUGUGCACCCAUGCAUAGACCUGAUAUAUAUUUUACUAAUCAAAGUUGCUUUGAUUUCUGGAAACUGCUGUUGUAUAUCACAGCUUUUUCUGUAUUUCAGGUUCUGUGAAAUUUUAUUUAUACUCCUGUGUAUGUUAAUGAACGUUACAAAGGCUGAAAAGCCUAUAAAUUUAUAAUACAACUUUCAGCAACGGAUCUCUUGGCUCUCGCAUCGAUGAAGAACGCAGCGAAAUGCGAUAAGUAAUGUGAAUUGCAGAAUUCAGUGAAUCAUCGAAUCUUUGAACGCACCUUGCGCCCCUUGGUAUUCCGAGGAGCAUGCCUGUUUGAGUGUCAUUCAAUUCUCAAUCUCUAGUAUUUACUUACUGGAUGAUUGGAUGUGGGGGAUCUUGUAGGAUUUUUACAAGUUCUACUCCCCUGAAAUAUAUUAGCUGGGAAUGCCUUUGCAGACUAACUAUCAGUGUGAUAAUUAUCAGUACUGUGGGUUGUUGCAUGAGGGAAUCUGCUUCUUUAACUGUUGCAAGACAACUUGAAUACCUUUGACCUCAAAUCAGGUAGGACUACCCGCUGAACUUAAGCAUAUCAAUAAGCGGAGGA